rnacentral:rRNA from 1 species
AGCUCCAAUAGCGUAUAUUAAAGUUGUUGCAGUUAAAAAGCUCGUAGUUGGAUUUCUGGUGGGAGGGAUCGGUCUUGCAUUCUUUGUAAGCACUUGUAUCCUCUCCGGCCAUCCUUGGGUGGAUCUUGUCUGGCAUUAAGUUGUCAGGCAGGGGAUGCCCAUCGUUUACUGUGAAAAAAUUAGAGUGUUCAAAGCAGGCUUAUGCCAUUGAAUAUAUUAGCAUGGAAUAAUAAGAUAGGGCCCUGGUACUAUUUUGUUGGUUUGCGUACCGAGGUAAUGAUUAAUAGGGACAGUUGGGGGUAUUCAGUAUUCAGUGGUGAAAUACUUAGACCUACGGAAGACAAACUACUGCGAAAGCAUUUACCAAGGAUGUUUUCA